rnacentral:misc_RNA from 1 species
UCUGAUAUGAAGAAUUUGUAAUAAUUGAACCUCCACUUCACUAGCAUCCAGUGUAAAUUAAGAGAUCAAAAAGCUAAUGUAAUCUCUGCCACAGAUCGUCAGAUAAAUAAUAUAAUUAAAGAUUUGUACUCCUGCCUGGUGGCCUGUUAAAACCAUAAUAUUGUUAUGUCUAACUAAAGCAGCAACUUCUUUUUCCAAAGGAUUAUUAAAUAAGCGCCAAUUCUGGUUGUUUGACAUGCAUUUAUAUACUGGCAUGAAUAAAAGAGUGUCAAAACAAACGUAUGAACUCCAAUAAACAAUAUUGGAUCUUCUUGCUGCUUAAUAAAGCUUCAAGGAAGAGUUCAAUUUUGCGGAAGCUCCAG